AGACACCUACGCAGACGCGAAAGUGAAAGGGGGGCGACUGGGCCCGGCAGGCGGGCGGCCGGCGGCGCGCGGGCACGCGGCAGGGGACAGAGGAUGGAUGGGUGAACCCGGAUCCCGGGAUUCUCCCGCGCCCGCUGCCCCUCUGCGGAGCCUCCCCGGAGUCCCACGCCCCCACCCCGGCCACGGAGAUCACCACGUCAGGAGAUAUGUAUGCGUGUGCAUGUGUGUGCGCGCGUGUUCACGCGCGUGUGCGAGGAUGGUGAAAAAGAGCUGAAUUACAUAGGACAAUAAGUUUUUGAGAAGCCAACUGGGAAACAGAAGAAGGAAGAUGUCACCAGACAAAAGAAGUCUAAUGGGAGGAAUCCGUGGAAUUUUCUUUUGCAUGCUUGUGUAACACUCGUGAAGCAGCAAAAGAAGAUCCACGUUAUUCCAGAAAUUAAUGCCAGCGAAGUCAAUCGUGUACAUCAAGUUAGCACAAUUUCUUUCUGAUGGUCCUGAAAAUAUAGGGGGACUUGGAGUUAACACCUGUGAUGCAGAAACUAAUCUGCCAUUCAUUUGAUGUGCCAUGUUGGUCAAAUAUGUUAAGCCCAC
rnacentral:lncRNA from 1 species